UACAGAGGGUGCGAGCGUUAAUCGGAAUUACUGGGCGUAAAGCGUGCGUAGACGGCUAUCUAAGUCGGGUGUGAAAGCCCCGGGCUCAACCUGGGAAUUGCAUUUGAGACUGCAUAGCUAGGGUGCGGAAGAGGGAAGCGGAAUUUCCGGUGUAGCGGUGAAAUGCGUAGAUAUCGGAAGGAACACCAGUGGCGAAAGCGACUUCCUGGUCCAGCAUCGACGUUCAGGCACGAAAGCGUGGGGAGCAAACAGG
rnacentral:rRNA from 1 species